GACGAACGCUGGCGGCGUGCUUAACACAUGCAAGUCGAACGGAAAGGCCCUGCUUUUGUGGGGUGCUCGAGUGGCGAACGGGUGAGUAACACGUGAGUAACCUGCCCUUGACUUUGGGAUAACUUCAGGAAACUGGGGCUAAUACCGGAUAGGAGCUCCUGCUGCAUGGUGGGGGUUGGAAAGUUUCGGCGGUUGGGGAUGGACUCGCGGCUUAUCAGCUUGUUGGUGGGGUAGUGGCUUACCAAGGCUUUGACGGGUAGCCGGCCUGAGAGGGUGACCGGCCACAUUGGGACUGAGAUACGGCCCAGACUCCUACGGGGGGCAGCAGUGGGGAAUAUUGCACAAUGGGCGGAAGCCUGAUGCAGCAACGCCGCGUGCGGGAUGAGGCCUUCGGGCUGUACACCGCUUUCGCCUGUGACGAAGCGUGAGUGACGGUAAUGGGUAAAGAAGCACCGGCUAACUACGUG
rnacentral:rRNA from 1 species